UUAUAUGCCCCAAAUACCCUAACAGCACCAGAUCCCAGCUGAGCUUGGAUGCUGAGCAGGAUUGGCACAAGUUAGUACUUCAGUGGGAGACCACUAAUGAAUACCAAGUGAUGUAGAUU
rnacentral:rRNA from 11 species